CCUACGGGAGGCUGCAGUGGGGAAUAUUGGACAAUGGGCGAAAGCCUGAUCCAGCCAUGCCGCGUGUGUGAAGAAGGCCUUCGGGUUGUAAAGCACUUUCAGUGGGGAAGAAAGCCUUGGGGCUAAUACCCUCGAGGAAGGACAUCACCCACAGAAGAAGCACCGGCUAACUCCGUGCCAGCAGCCGCGGUAAUACGGAGGGUGCGAGCGUUAAUCGGAAUUACUGGGCGUAAAGCGCGCGUAGGCGGUCUGAUAAGCCGGUUGUGAAAGCCCCGGGCUCAACCUGGGAACGGCAUCCGGAACUGUCAGGCUAGAGUGCAGGAGAGGAAGGUAGAAUUCCCGGUGUAGCGGUGAAAGGCGUAGAGAUCGGGAGGAAUCCCAGUGGCGAAGGCGGCCUUCUGGACUGACACUGACGCUGAGGUGCGAAAGCGUGGGUAGCAAACAGGAUUAGAUACCCGGGUAGUC
rnacentral:rRNA from 1 species